UUGAUUCUGGCUCAGGAUGAACGCUAGCGGCAGGCUUAACACAUGCAAGUCGAGGGGCAGCGGGGAGGAAGCUUGCUUUCUCCGCCGGCGACCGGCGCACGGGUGAGUAACACGUAUGCAACCUGCCCCUGUCAGGGGGACAACCCGCCGAAAGGCGGGCUAAACCCGCGUACAUGCCACCGGGGCAUCCCGGAGGCAGGAAAGGCUUCGGCCGGACAGGGAUGGGCAUGCGGCGCAUUAGGCAGUAGGCGGGGUAACGGCCCACCUAACCGACGAUGCGUAGGGGUUCUGAGAGGAAGGUCCCCCACACUGGUACUGAGACACGGACCAGACUCCUACGGGAGGCAGCAGUGAGGAAUAUUGGUCAAUGGUCGGGAGACUGAACCAGCCAAGCCGCGUGAGGGAUGAAGGUACAGAGUAUCGUAAACCUCUUUUGUCAGGGAACAAAGGCGGGGACGUGUCCCCGGAUGAGUGUACCUGAAGAAAAAGCAUCGGCUAACUCCGUGCCAGCAGCCGCGGUAAUACGGAGGAUGCGAGCGUUAUCCGGAUUUAUUGGGUUUAAAGGGUGCGCAGGCGGUCUGUUAAGUCAGCGGUCAAAGCCCGGGGCUCAACCCCGGCCCGCCGUUGAAACUGGCAGUCUCGAGUUGGAGAGAAGUAUGCGGAAUGCGCGGUGUAGCGGUGAAAUGCAUAGAUAUCGCGCAGAACUCCGAUUGCGAAGGCAGCAUGCCGGCUCCACACUGACGCUGAGGCACGAAAGCGUGGGUAUCGAACAGGAUUAGAUACCCUGGUAGUCCACGCAGUAAACGAUGAAUGCUGGCUGUCCGGGGGGACUGACCCCUGGGUGGCGAAGCGAAAGCGAUAAGCAUUCCACCUGGGGAGUACGCCGGCAACGGUGAAACUCAAAGGAAUUGACGGGGGCCCGCACAAGCGGAGGAACAUGUGGUUUAAUUCGAUGAUACGCGAGGAACCUUACCCGGGCUCAAACGGGGAGUGACUCAGGCAGAGACGCCUGUUUCCCACGGGACACUCCCCGAGGUGCUGCAUGGUUGUCGUCAGCUCGUGCCGUGAGGUGUCGGCUUAAGUGCCAUAACGAGCGCAACCCCCGNCGUCAGUUGCUAACAGUCAACGCUGAGGACUCUGCACGGACUGCCGGCGCAAGCCGCGAGGAAGGCGGGGAUGACGUCAAAUCAGCACGGCCCUUACGUCCGGGGCGACACACGUGUUACAAUGGGUGGUACAGCGGGAAGCCAGGCGGCGACGCCGAGCGGAACCCGAAAUCCACUCUCAGUUCGGAUCGGAGUCUGCAACCCGACUCCGUGAAGCUGGAUUCGCUAGUAAUCGCGCAUCAGCCAUGGCGCGGUGAAUACGUUCCCGGGUCUUGUACACACCGCCCGUCAAGCCAUGGGAGCCGAGGGCGCUUGAAGUGCGUCGCCGCGAGGCGCGCCCUAGAGCGAAAUCGGUGACUGGGGCUAAGUCGUAACAAGGU
rnacentral:rRNA from 1 species